GACGAACGCUGGCGGCGUGCUUAACACAUGCAAGUCGAACGGAAAGGCCCUGCUUUUGUGGGGUGCUCGAGUGGCGAACGGGUGAGUAACACGUGAGUAACCUGCCCUUGACUUUGGGAUGACUUCAGGAAACUGGGGCUACUACCGGAUAGGAGCUCCUGCUGCAUGGUGGGGGUUGGAAAGUUUCGGCGGUUGGGGAUGGACUCGCGGCUUAUCAGCUUGUUGGUGGGGUAGUGGCUUACCAAGGCUUUGACGGGUAGCCGGCCGGGGAGGGUGACCGGCGUCAUUGGUACUAAGAGACGGCCCAGACUCCAACGUGAGGCAGUAGUGGGGAGUAUUGCACAAUGGGCGGAAGCCUGAUGCAGCAACGCCGCGUGCGGGAUGACGGCCUGCUGGUUGUAAACCGCUUUCGCCUGUGACGAAGCUUGAGUGACGGUAAUGGGUGAAGAAGCACCGGCUAACUACGUG
rnacentral:rRNA from 1 species